rnacentral:rRNA from 1 species
UACAGAGGGUGCGAGCGUUGUCCGGAAUCACUGGGCGUAAAGGGCGCGUAGGUGGCGACCCAAGUCGAUGGUGAAAGCUCGCCGCUCAACGGCGAGUCGGCCACCGAUACUGGGUUGCUGGAGCACUGUAGAGGCUCAUGGAAUUCCGGGUGUAGCGGUGGAAUGCGUAGAGAGUCCGGAAGAACGACCGGUGGCGAAGGCGGGUCUCUGGGCCGUUACUGGACGCUGAGGAGCGAAAGCGUGGGGAGCGAACAGG